CCUACGGGUGGCAGCAGUGAGGAAUAUUGGUCAAUGGACGGAAGACUGAACCAGCCAAGCCGCGUGCAGGAAGAAGGUACAAUGUGUCGUAAACCGCUUUUGUCAGAGGACAAACGCAGAUACGUGUCUCCGUAUGAGUGUACCUUAAAAAAAAGCAUCGGCUAACUCCGUGCCAGCAGCCGCGGUAAUACGGAGGAUUCAAGCGUUAUCCGGAUUUAUUGGGUUUAAAGGGUGCGGAGGCGGUCUGUUAAGUUAGCGGUCAAAUCCCGGGGCUCAACUUCGGGACUGCCUCUGAUACUGUCUGGCUAGAGAUGAGGUGAGGUAGGCGGAAUGUACGGUGUAGCGGUGAAAUGCAUAGAGAUCGUACAGAACUCCGAUUGCGAAGGCAGCAUGCC
rnacentral:rRNA from 1 species